UGUAUUUUUCCAUUCUAAAACUAAAUUAUAUUCUAAGAAAGAUAAAAUCAACCUUCAAUCCCAACGAUUUAUCCAUCGAAAAUGACAUAAUUCCGUUCGACGAACACAAAGAUCAAGUUCAAAUCUAAUAACGUAAUUGAGCUUCAAGACCCGAUAGAAAUUUCCCUAGCGAUUAAUAUUUCCGAUACCUCAUUUGCAUGGCCAUUCUGAAGGCUUACAGUAUCGCAUAAUGCUGGAACAAAGGGCAUAGUUGAAGAGCAAUGUAGGGCCCUUGUGUAGGUCAAGUUGAGUAAAGUAUCUGCCUACGUGAUUAUGGAAUACGAGUAAAAGGGAGUGAAACGGUAUGAGGUUAUGGUUGAAAAAAGUAGUGAUGGGACACUCAAAAUGAGUGAGUAUGUGUUGUCUUUCAAUUUAAGAGGCUGUCAAUACCUAAAGCGCGCACACUGUCUAUUUGUAUCGGAGUAAAUGAGAUAGCACUGUCGCAUGUUACUAGGCCUGGGCAAGGGAAUAAUAAGAAAAAUAUUUAAAUAAAAAAAAUGGAUUAUUAGUGUAAUAUUUUACUCAACCACGGUUUAGAUAUAAAUGUUUUGAAAUUGUGAUUUUAAUUGCAGACCCAUAAGUCUAAACAAUAAAGACAUAAAACCGUCUAAUUGUGAUUUUAAGACCAAUCUUUGCAAUUAUUUUCUAUCGAGCCGAUUUCGUUCAAUCAUGUAUCGAGUACAACCACGGUCUUUGAAAUAUAAUUAAUAUGAACAUAUAUUUUUCUUACUUGACUAAAACAAAUAGUCUUUCUUAAAAAACUGUUUAAGUAACAUCAAUUUCAAGGACAUUGGGUGUUGACAGCCUCUUAAGAGUGCAUUUGCUCCAUAGUUGCAACUGUCCCAUAGUUGCAAUUACCCCACAGUUGCAAUUGUCCCGGCUGACCUUAUACCUAAUAAAGUAAAAUAAAAUAAAAUCCAAAACGGGUAACUUCUGGUUUUACAAAUAAACUCGCCUUUUCCUAUCUUGUUUCGCUUUAAACUUUAUGUUACUGAACAAAUAAUCCUGCUCCGAAGUUGGUAACAGCACUUCAUUAAAUUUCGAGAAUAUUAAUUGCUUUUAGGUUUUACAAGUCGAGAAUUUGGGACACCGACUGUGUAUUUUAGAAACAAGGUAUCUAUUACCUAAAUAUCAACACAGACCCGGACUUGUGAAUGCCAUCUCGCUUUGUGUGGUAGGGCGGAUGUCAUUCCAGAUGUAGAGCAGAGCCCAACUGGAGAAGUACCCAUAGUGUUGUGUUUCUGACGGUGAGUAAGGUUGCAAGAGGUCAACGGGCUCCGUAGCGUAUCGUAGCUAUCUCUCUCUAUCACUCUUCCAUAUUAGUGCGACAGAGACAGUUGCGUUUCGUUCGCUACGAAGCGUUAAGAGGCUGUCAAUACCUAAAGCGCGCACACUGUCUAUUUGUAUCGGAGUAAAUGAGAUAGCACUGUCGCAUGUUACUGGGCCUGGGCAAGGGAAUAAUAAGAAAAAUAUUUAAAUAAAAAAGUGGAUUAUUAGUGUAAUAUUUUACUCAACCACGGUUUAGAUAUAAAUGUUUUGAAAUUGUGAUAUUAAUUGCAGACCCAUAAGUCAAAACAAUAAAGACAUAAAACCGUUUAA